AAAAGAACGACACCUUUCUGGAGGGGAUUUUCAAGACCAGUUGGAGCACCAUGCAGAGAUAACAGUGAAUGCUUCACAAGAGUGUGCAGGAACAAACUAUGUUCUUUAAGAAUAUUGCAAGAGUAAUUAUGUCUUAAGAAGAACAAGCUGUUACCUUGGAUUAUGCUCCCCUUUAUUUAUUGUCACCUCUCCUAAUAUAUAUACACUAUAUUGCCAAACGUAUUUGCUCACAACUGCUUCUGAUUAUGUGAUGGUUGAGUGAAUACUUUUGGCAAUAUAGUGUAUAUACAUAUAUAUACAUAUAUAUUUAAAGCUUUCAAUUGGUGCUUCAGUUGUAUGGACAAAUGAAAGAAUUUCAACUUGGCAGAAAUAUAUGCUAAUUUAGUUUAUAUUUUCCAUCUUGUUCCAAUAGUGCUUUAUCCAAGCUAUGGUAGCUUCAACUGAUUUUAUCUUUAUUUGUAUUUUUUUGUGUGCAAAACAAAAUAAAUAAAUACUUGUAAGAGCAACUACAACUUGAUAUUUUUCUUGCAUACCAUUCAAAAGAGAAAGAACAAUUAA